GUUUAAUUAAGAUUUUCUUAUCCCCUGCUAUGUUAAUAGCUUGCUAGACCCUGCAAGAGCCUUCUGUAUGUAUUAAAGUUCAAUUUAGAGAUUGAGAUACAAUUAUUUAAGGUAAAUUACAUCUGUUUGAAAGUGAAACCAGUUUUUUUUUUCAUGCAGGCUCUGUCAGUCAUAGCCAGGGGAGGUGUGGCUAGGGCUGCAUAAAUAGAAACAAAGUGAUUUAACUCCUAAAUGACAGUGAAUUGAGCAGUGAAAUUGCAGGGGAAUGAUCUAUACACUAAAACUGCUUUAUUUAGCUAAAGUAAUUU